UAUACAACUUAUGAGUACUGUUCUUUUAGAUAAAUGGGAUCGCUUCUAUAGCAAACACCGUCCCCACCGCACCACAAAAUAUUGGCUCUUGGGAAGUCGUACAGAAACAAAAUCUACCUAAGCAAACAGAUGGCUGCUCGUGUGGACUUUUUAUAAUUAAAUACAUGGAACUAUGGAAUGUAUACAAGUUGAUUUUUCAUGAUGUCCUUGAACCAUUCUUGGUUCCUUUCGGCACUAGACUUCCUAGGCUGCUGAAACAUGGUCCAAUAUAUCUUUGUCUCUCAUACAUAUUCAGGAGUGUUAAUCAUUUUAUAUAAUUUCCAAUAUAGCAAACAUGGUUCAGUGUUUGCAGGAUGAGGUCAUAAGCAAACUACAAGAACAAAUGCACCAACCUGGACUUUGGCGAGCUCAACACAUUUUAUUUUUGUCGUUAGCCUUAUUCAGUCUGAUAUGGUAAGACUAACAUGUGGCAUGUACAGAGAUAUUUACAAAAUAUACUACAAUACUGAUCUGGUUGAAUUGUUUAACACUACAAUACAAACUGCCAGCUUCCAUUAUCGGUGACAGUUCGCCUGAAUAGCUCUCCUCAUGCAGCUUAGAACUGAUGAGGAUUAUUGAUGCCGUCGCUGCUCGGUGGCGCCAGCUGGUAGCCGAGGUUGACCUCGGUGGUGAGUAUCUGGCGGUGUGCCUCCAGCAUCUGCAAGCCUCCUGGAAAGAAGCACCUCAUGUCCAGCCCCACGAAAUGGCCGGCGGGGAAGAAGCACUUGGUGUCCAUCUCCAAGAAUGGGUUCAGCUCCGCACUUGCGCUGCCAUGGCGGCAGACCGCGCCACGGUCACCUGCUGCAGCUGCUGCUCUCCCUCCUCAAUCAGAUCAGACAUAGAUGAUGGACAGAGUGAUCGGCACAAAUGAAAAGCAUGAUUUCAGGAUUAAUACUGUAUAAAGAUUUUUUAUUUACUUUUUAAGGCUAGGUAGCUAUAUUAUAUAUGCAACAAAAGUUUGUUUCUGAAUUCUGACAGUUAAGCAUACCUUAGUCUUGAGGUU